GCAUAGCUCAGUGGUAGAGCAGUGGUCUCCAAAAUCACGUGCCGCAGGUUCGAUUCCUGCCUUUCCGAUUCCA
rnacentral:tRNA from 1 species